GCAAGUCGAACGAGAAAGCACUUCGGUGUGAGUAAAGUGGCGGACGGGUGAGUAACGCGUAGGAAUCUACCCAGUAGUUGGGGACAACCCGAGGAAACUCGGGCUAAUACCGAAUACGAUCUACGGAUUAAAGAAGGCCUCUAUUUAUAAGCUUUCGCUAUUGGAGGAGCCUGCGUGGGAUUAGUUUGUUGGUGGGGUAAUGGCCUACCAAGACUACGAUCCCUAGCUGGUCUGAGAGGACGAUC
rnacentral:rRNA from 1 species